rnacentral:rRNA from 1 species
UCCAGCAGCCAUCACACUGCCAACUCAUUGAAGCUAAGCAGGUGUGAGCCUGGUCAGUACCUGGAUGAGAGACCUCCUGGGAAAAACUAAGGUUGCUGCUGGAA